UACAGGGGGGGCAAGCGUUGUUCGGAAUUACUGGGCGUAAAGGGCUCGUAGGCGGCCAACUAAGUCACACGUGAAAUCCCCAGGCUUAACCUGGGAACUGCGUGUGAUACUGGAUGGCUUGAAUCCGGGAGAGGGAUGCGGAAUUCCAGGUGUAGCGGUGAAAUGCGUAGAUAUCUGGAGGAACACCGGUGGCGAAGGCGGCAUCCUGGACCGGUAUUGACGCUGAUGAGCGAAAGCCAGGGGAGCAAAACGGG
rnacentral:rRNA from 1 species